CCAUUAUUACCGGUAGUCUGUUUGACGUAAGCGUUGUUUUUAAAUUCUGCAAUUAUUGAUCCUCGUAUAGCUAGUAGGAUGAACUUAGGAUAUAACACAGGGCUGGUGUACAUAGAACUUACAUAUACAUGUAUUAUGUUUCCACAUUUUGUGCUAUGCAAAACCGGACAGUCUUCAUUGAGACAAGAUAUAUGCAUACAAGUAUUUGCCUACAAUUUAAGUCUUGAUUUCUCUCUAAUAAGGCCAUGACAAGCUGUAAACAUAGGUGUCUCAUUCAUAUACGCCAAGAUUGGUUUGGUAUUAAUAUGGUUAAAGUACAAGUUGCAUGUAUUAAUAGAUUGUCCAGGAUUCAGGAGUUAUCUUUCCUUGACCAAAAUAUCUCAUAUAUGUCUCAAAAAGGCUUUUACUGAAAAUAAAGGAAAAUCUAGGUGACACAGACUGUUCUGAAAAUAAUCUUUUGAUCAGAAACACUUUUUAACAUUUCAUGGCCAGAUGCUUCACUGCGGUGGUCUAUAGUGUUUUCCUAGAAAUAGUUGAAAUAUCCAAUGUUUUCCUGCAGUUGUGAUAAAGAGUUUUAGUAGCAGAGAGGUAGUUCAUAUGUGGAUGAAUCUGUUCAUUGUAGAUAUGCAUGAACCCUAUUGUCACUUGUGAACAUAUACUCAUGGAAACAAAUAAGGGAACACACGAAAGUACAAGUGAUCCUUUAUUCUUUUCCAGGUUUCUUCACAAGGUAUGUAUAGCACUGUGAGUGACAUUCUGGAAAUAAGGAAGGAACACUUGUACUUUCAUGUGUUCCCUUAUUUGUUUCUAUGAGUAUAUAUGUAUUAAUAUGUGUAAGACUGGCAUCUGUAAUGAUUCACUGGGGUCUUUGUCCAUAGUAUGGAUAUAACAUGCUACUUUCAAUGUUACAAGAACAGGUUAUGAUCGUGAUAGUCAUAAUUGAUGCACCAGUAUCACUUGGUGUAAGACUUGCCAGGAACAUGUGAUCGUGGGUUUGAAUUCCAUACUGUUUCUAAGUCUGUCUGUCUGUCUGUCUGCUUCUUAAAAUGUUCAUGGCCAGCUCCAAGUAGUCAGCAUGUAAGACGUGCAUGUCGUGAGGAUUUCCUCAUGCAUCAGGCUGUGUGGUGGCUGAAGUACAGGGUGACGUUCAACCCAUUUCACUCCAAGAACAUACUGAUGUAUAAACAACACAAAACCUCAAGAAUAACUAACAGCAUCACUUGACUUUGAAUGACGAUAUCUCAAAUGACUCUGACACUGAGAUGGUACAUUUCAGACGAAAUCGAAAUCGGCUUCAUACCCAUCAUAGAUCUCAGUCUUACAUCUAUAUGCAUGUUCCCAGUUUCUCAACCAACCUUUGUACAUCAUAACUGCCAAACUUGCCUUCUUCAAACACUGUAACAAAGACCAUGUACUCAGUGUUCCAAGACUGGAAGCCAGGGGUGCUUGUGAUGAUCCUGGUUGUGAAGACUUGGGGGCUUCUCAGAUUCCAUAGCAGCCUAGCCACAGGACCCCUGGACUCCCAUUAAUUAUAAACACUGUAAUGCCAAAUAAUGUAUUCUGUAUUCUGUGUCUGUGUAUUGGCUCCUACUGUCUGGCUGAAUUUGAAUCGGCAGUUCAUCAAUUUUGUAUGUCUCCUCCCUGAUUGUAUGACAGACUCAAAUUCUGAAGACUUGGAAAAGUUCUUCAGAUGCUUGUAACUCCUGAAAAUAUUUGUUGAUGGAUUUGGACUCGACAUCAGUUUUGUUUUACACUCCAGGUUCUAUCAUGGAACAAUUGAUUCCCAUGCAUACCUGGCCGCACUGGUGUAAGUUCAAACCCCUAUUUCACCUACACUGAGCACGAAACUGAAAGGUUGCUGAAUUUUGAUCCAUAAACCACAUUUGAGAUACCUUUGGAAUGUGUCCUCGGAACCAAACUGAUGUUUAUUGCCUGCAGGUUCAGAAAGUUCUGUGAAGUUUGAAGGAAAUGAGUACACUGGUUGCCUAGUUACAACCUCACAUCAAUAUGUCAGAUCUCUUAGCAAAGUUUGUAAAUAUUUGUAAAGUAUUUUUGUCCACCACAGAAAUUAGAGUCUCUGCUAAUAGUCUAGAUUGUACUGUAUAGUCUUGAAUAGACAAGUGAAAAGACUUCACAUCUAGGCUUCAACAAAAGAAUAUUAUUCCUGAGAAUACACUUGAAACAUAAUUUACCAAGAAAAUGAAAAGAAACAGGCAGCGUCCAUCCUAAAUGCAGUGUGUAGUGGUCAGAUAAUCUGUAGAACUUCUACAGAUAUACCAAAUAAAAGUGUUUUGGAUCAUAGACAUAUUGGGGAUAUGAGGUCAUUGCAUUUAGCUUCCUAAAGUCAUAAAAGGUGAUUAGGUGGUUAUAUAGCUGCUGUGAACAUAUGCAGAACAUAUGUUGAUAUUUAUGCAAAUAUUUCUUGUUACAUAUUCAAGAAAAAGAAAAAUUUGAGAAGAAAAAUAAGAAUAAUGAAAAGUUCAUUUGUUCAAACAGUAAGCCUUGAUGUGUUGAUCAUUGAACAAGCUAGAAGUUGGCAGUUCACAGAUUAUUGAACAAGCUAGGAUUGCAGGAUGUGUUGAUCAUUGAACAAGCUAGGAUUGCAGGAUGUGUUGAUCAUUGAACUAGCUAGGAUUGCAGGAUGUGUUGAUCA